rnacentral:rRNA from 1 species
UACGUAGGUGGCGAGCGUUGUCCGGAUUUAUUGGGUUUAAAGGGUGCGUAGGCGGCUUUGUAAGUCAGUGGUGAAAUACUCCAGCUUAACUGGAGGGGUGCCAUUGAUACUGCGGAGCUUGAGUACAGAUGAGGUAGGCGGAAUUGACGGUGUAGCGGUGAAAUGCGCAGAUAUCAGGAGGAACACCGGUGGCGAAGGCGGGUCUCUGGGCAGUAACUGACGCUGAGGAGCGAAAGCGUGGGGAGCGAACAGG